rnacentral:rRNA from 1 species
UACAGAGGUCUCAAGCGUUGUUCGGAUUCAUUGGGCGUAAAGGGUGCGUAGGCGGCGCGGUAAGUCGGGUGUGAAAUCUCGGAGCUUAACUCCGAAACUGCAUUCGAUACUGCCGUGCUUGAGGACUGGAGAGGGGACUGGAAUUCAUGGUGUAGCAGUGAAAUGCGUAGAGAUCAUGAGGAAGACCAGUGGCGAAGGCGGGUCUCUGGACAGUUCCUGACACUGAGACACGAAGGCCAGGGGAGCAAACGGG